GACGAACGCUGGCGGCGUGCUUAACACAUGCAAGUCGAACGGAAAGGCCGUGCUUUUGUGGGGUGCUCGAGUGGCGAACGGGUGAGUAACACGUGAGUAACCUGCCCUUGUCUUUGGGAUAACUUCAGGAAACUGGGGCUACUACCCGAUAGGAGCUCCUGCUGCAAGGUGGGGGAUGGAAAGUUUAGGCGGUUGGGGAUGGACUUGAGGCUUAUGAGCUGGUUGGGUGGGUAGUGGGUUACCAAGGCAUUGACGGGUAGCCGGUCUGAAAGGGUGACCGGCCACAGUGGGACUGGGAUACGGCCCAGACUCCAACGAGACGGAACAGUGGGGAAGAUUACACUAUGGGCGGAAGCCUGAUGCAGCAACGCCGCGUGCGGGAAGACGGCCUUCGGUUUGUAAACCGCUUUCGCCUGUGACGAAGCGUGAGUGACGGUAAGGGGUAAAGAAGCACCGGCUAACUACGUG
rnacentral:rRNA from 1 species